rnacentral:rRNA from 1 species
CCUACGGGUGGCAGCAGUGAGGAAUAUUGGUCAAUGGCCGGAAGUCUGAACCAGCCAAGCCGCGUGAAGGACGAAGGUGCCACGCAUUGUAAACUUCUUUUGUCAAGGGACAAAAUCAGGCUCGAGCGCCUGACCGAGGGUACUUUAAGAACGAGCAUCGGCUACCUCCGUGCCAGCAGCCGCGGUAAUACGGAGGAUGCGCGCGUUAUCCGGAGUUAUUGGGUUUAAAGGGUGCGUAGGCGGACUUUUAAGUCAGCGGUAAAAGCCCGGGGCUCAACCCCGGCGAGCCGUUGAAACUGGAGGUCUGGAGAGGGCGAGAGGUAUGCGGAAUGCGCAGUGUAGCGGUGAAAUGCGUAGAUAUUGCGCAGAACUCCGAUUGCGAAGGCAGCAUACCGGAGGCGAUCUGACGCUGAGGCACGAAAGCGUGGGUAUCGAACAGGAUUAGAUACCCGUGUAGUC